rnacentral:miRNA from 1 species
CCACUCACUCAAUCUAAGGAAUC